GAUACCAUGUAAUCAAAUACCGCUCCAUUCAUUUCCCAACCAAUCUGAUAACGCUGCCUUCCCGCCGUUAUCCUUUCCCACGACUCCUCUCCCCCGCGUGAGAACAUGCCCCGCGUCCUUGUCCAGGCACCAUUGCCGCCGGCCGCUGCCUCCCUUGCACCAUCGGCCUCUACAGAUGAAGCUCAAAGGAAGUGACUUCAAAUUAUCACUCAAGAAUCUCAAGAGCAUUUGGUGAAGAGUGUUCUCCUGAUUUUGUGGAUGUCCAGUAUGCAGUGAACUUCUAGAAGUUUUUAUUUAUGUAUGCAUGUUUUAAAUACUUUGAUCAAUGGAUGCUUAUAAAGAUUCUAUGGAAUUUCUGGAGGAGUUAUCUGUCUUUGAUCUGUUUUUUAUCAACAGAUUAUGUGCUACAAUAUUCUGUGAAAAAUCUGUUGUUACUUGACUCAUCCA